rnacentral:tRNA from 1 species
GGAGAGAUGUCCGAGUGGCCGAAGGAGCUCGCCUGGAAAGCGGGUAUGGGGGCAACUCUAUCAGGGGUUCGAAUCCCCUUCUCUCCGCCA